rnacentral:rRNA from 1 species
GUGGGGAAUAUUCCGCAAUGGACGAAAGUCUGACGGAGCAACGCCGCGUGAGUGAUGAAGGUUUUCGGACUGUAAAGCUCUGUUGUUUGGGACGAAAGUGCCUGUUGCGAACAGUUACGGGUAUUGACGGUACUAAACGAGGAAGCCACGGCUAACUACGUGCCAGCAGCCGCGGUAAUACGUAGGUGGCAAGCGUUGUCCGGAAUUAUUGGGCGUAAAGAGCAUGUAGGCGGGAAUCUAAGUCUGUUGUGAAAAUGCGGGGCUCAACCCCGUAUUGCGAUGGAAACUGGGUUUCUUGAGUGCAGGAGAGGAAAGGGGAAUUCCCAGUGUAGCGGUGAAAUGCGUAGAUAUUGGGAGGAACACCAGUGGCGAAGGCGCCUUUCUGGACUGUGUCUGACGCUGAGAUGCGAAAGCCAGGGUAGCGAACGGGAUUAGAAACCCCGGUAGUCC